UGUGGGAGCGAGCUUGCUCGCGAUGGCGGUGUGUCAGUCGCAAUCGAUGCUGGCUGAUCGACCGCUAUCGCGAGCAAGCUCGCUCCCACA
rnacentral:misc_RNA from 1 species